UUCCACACUAUUUUUCCAUUGACAUUGUUGAUAGAGUCACCGUUUAAGAUUGGAUAUUGAAUGGCCAAUUUCAUUAUCCCGUACAAGCAGGAAAACAACACAUGUCUCGCCUUAUCAUCUCACCUAAUAACAUGUCAUAGUGGCUGUUAACAUUCUAUUUCAAAUUUCCGUUAACAGUAUUAAUUGAGAGAGGAACUAACUAGAUUCAUAAUUUAAAAUUGUGAAAAUCAACUGAAAAACCAGAAAAUGUUUUCAAAAGAGAUCAACACAUAAAUAAAUUAACUCCAAAUUUAUAACAAAACGCAAUGGCAUUGUUGGACCAUGCUAUAUAAUUAGGCAUUAUUAUUGUCGCUGCAGGUCUAGAAUUAGAAGUUAACAAUUAGUUGUUAGAGUUGAAAAUAAAAAUUCACUCCUAAAUAUUAUAAUGUGAAUAUUUUGUCAUAUUUUGGCUGAUUUUUUUCGUUAUGGAGGAGGGACAGGUGUUGUGCUGGGCUAUGGAAGAUGGGGGUGCUACACAGAAUUGUGGGAUAGUUUUUAGCUCAUAUUUGAUAGGAAGAAAUCGGACCCUCCGAGUUCUUUGUUUUAAAAAUUUUGUAAGCAAAUCAGAGGGUCCGUUUUGCUUGUAGCAUACAAAAUUCACAUAGAAGAAAUCAGACCGUGCGAUAUCUCCUAACACGGAUGGUCCGUUUUCUUUGUUGGUUUUUUGUUUGAAUUUGGAUCUACUAAUUGCUGGAUCCGACUUGUGCAUGAAAAAUUUUUUUUUUUUAAGUUACAGGAAAUCAGAAGGUCCGAGUUCCCUUCAGCAACUCGCAGGGUCCGAUUACUGUCUUCCUUACACCACAGUCCGAUAAAGCUCCCCAACUCUCCAUAUCCAUGUCCUACACUAACGUUGCCUCCAUAAUAAAAUUAAUUUGCGUUUUUAGGGUUGUAUGUACUUCAAAAGAAAUACUUAGUAAAACCUGCUAAUUCAUUUGUUACUUCAAUGUUCAAUCAUUGAUACACUUUUUAUACCUAUUUAUGUAUUUAUGUAUUAUGCAUAGCAAACAACUUUUUUGCACAUAAUCACCAAACAGAUACAUAGGUUGAAUUUUCUACUCGCAUUUUUUGUAUGACACCAUCUUUACUGCAAACUAACAUGAUGAAAACCACUCAUGCCUUAUCAAUAUAACAGUGAGUUACGCUCGUUCUUAUUUUAAUCUGGUUGCACCAAAUCAUAGACAAAGUCGGCUUCUGAAUCUUGUAUAUCUCAUUACAAUGCAUUGUUCUCCUUUUCAUUUCUUAUGGCUACGCAGCCUACCCAAAUAGAUCAGGUUACACUUAGCCUGUAGGAUCAAUCAUCUGUACCAAAGUAGCGAUCCCCAAACUCGCCCAAUCCAGGGAUAACCCGAAACUCAUCGUUUAAGGCGGCA